rnacentral:rRNA from 1 species
CAAUAGCGUAUAUUAAAGUUGUUGCGGUUAAAAAGCUCGUAGUUGGAUUUUCUGUUGGGAACGACCGGUCCGCCCAUUGGGUGUGCAUCUGGCUUGUUCUCGGCAUCUUCUUGGUGAACGUUGCUGCACUUGACUGUGUGGAGCGCUACCCAGGACUUUUACUUUGUAGGAAAUUAGAGUGUUUCAAGCAGGCAUAUGCCUUGAAUACAUUAGCAUGGAAUAAUAAGAUAGGACCUCGGUUCUAUUUUGUUGGUUUCUAGAGCUGAGGUAAUGAUUAAUAGGGAUAGUUGGGGGCGAUUCUAUUUAACUAGUCAGAGGUGAAAUUCUUGGAUUGUUAAAGUACGGACUACUGCGAAAGCAUUUGCCAAGGAUGUUUUC